AAAGGCUUUCUCCCACAUUUACUUCUAUUAAUUACUUAGAUUUACUUAACAUUUAGAUCUUUUCUUCUUGAGUCUACCACUGAAUAUGAUGUAAGGUAGAGAUCUAGCUCCAAGUUUUCUCUUCUGAUGGCUACUUUUUCCUAUUAAUCCGAUGCAAACUUUAUUGUAUAUCAAUACAGUUGCAUACCUGUGUAUACGCAGGACUGUUUCUGAGCCCCCUAUUAUGUCCUUUGGUCUGUUUUUCUGUCCAUGCCUCUGUGUCGUGUUUUCUUUUUCAGCAAAGUUUUAAGUUUUAUAAUGACCACUCAUCAUCUACAUUCUUCUAUCAACAUUUUUCUAUAUUUGCUUUUAUGUACCAUGUUAUUUUUAUAACUAAAACUUUGUAUCUAUCUUAAUAUCUUAUUAGCAGUGAUCCUCAAUCUUCACUAUAUAUGAGAGUCAAUUAGAGGGUUGGGGGGUCCCCACCCAUAUGGCUUUUAAUUAACUAAGUAUGAGUUGGAACCCAAGAAUUUACAUUUCUAGCAAGUUCUCAGGUAAUGCUGAUGCUUAUGGUUUGAGGAUAACAGAGAAUCACCAUCUUAUAGGAUGAGUCUUCUUAGCUCCUGGUUUUUCCAUAUACAUUUCAGAGUAAGUUUUUUGGCAUUUAUUUUCUGGCCAUGAUGGAUUUACCCUAACUCCUGAAAUGAAUAAAAACAGACAAAAUAUUUGAAACAAUGAUUUUCAAAAUACUGGACAUCAAGAAAUGAAGGACCGUGGUCCCUGAAGGAUGGAGAAAAAAAAGAGGCUUUCACUGUAUAGAAGAUAUCCUGUUGGUUGGAAAGAGAAGCCUUGGUGUCAAUGGCCCUGAAGGCAGAAUUAUAGCACCUCCAUCAGAAGGGAUGGACUGAUAAACCCUGAAAAAAUUCAGGAGCCUGCCUGCUAAGUGUUUUGGAACUAUGUGGCACAUUAACAAUGCUCAGUCUUCCUGGAAGUGA
rnacentral:lncRNA from 1 species